rnacentral:rRNA from 1 species
UGAGUGACCUGCCGAUUUGUGGGGGAUAGCCGGGCCAACGCCCGGGUAAUACCGCAUACGCUCUUCUUGGGGCAUCUCUAGAAGAGGAAACCUCCGGGGCAAAUCGAGGGACUCGCGGCCUAUCAGCUAGUUGGCGAGGUAACGGCUCACCAAGGCUACGACGGGUAGCUGGUCUGAGAGGAUGAUCAGCCACACUGGGACUGAGACACGGCCCAGACCUCCGUACGGGAGGNAGCG